rnacentral:tRNA from 1 species
AAGGUCGUUAGUUCAAUUCUGACAGGUGGCAGUUUCCUUUUUAUUUGUCAGUAUUAAUAAUUGAGGCGCCCC